CCUACGGGCGGCAGCAGUGGGGGAUAUUGGACAAUGGGGGGAACCCUGAUCCAGCGACGCCGCGUGAGUGAAGAAGUAUUUCGGUAUGUAAAGCUCUGUCAGCAGGGAAGAAAGAAAUGACGGUACCUGACCAAGAAGCCCCGGCUAACUACGUGCCAGCAGCCGCGGUAAUACGUAGGGGGCAAGCGUUAUCCGGAAUUACUGGGUUUAAAGGGUGCGCAGGCGGCCUGUUAAGUCAGCGGUAAAAGCCCGGGGCUCAACCCCGGCGAGCCGUUGAAACUGGCGGGCUGGAGUUGGAGAGAAGUACGCGGAAUGCGCGGUGUAGCGGUGAAAUGCUUAGAUAUCGCGCAGAACCCCGAUUGCGAAGGCAGCGUACCGGCUCCACACUGACGCUGAGGCACGAAAGCGUGGGUAUCGAACAGGAUUAGAUACCCCAGUAGUC
rnacentral:rRNA from 1 species